UGGCACACGAGUGUAAUCCCAGCUACUCGGGAGGUUAAGGCAGGGGAAUCCCUUGAGCCUGGGAGGCAGAGGUUGCAGUGAGCUGAGACUGCACCACUGCAAUCCAGCCAGAGUGCGACUCUGUCCCCCAAAAAUUAAGAGUACAAAUUGAGAGAGUAAUUGUGAACAGAGGGUUAGGGAAGAUUUGGGAGAAUCACAGUAUGUAGUGUUUUCCUGAGUUGAUAGCUCUUUUUUUUAUUUUUUAUUUUUUUGAGAUAGAGUCUCACUCUUUUGCCAGGCUGGAGUGCAGUGGUGUGAUCUUGGAUCACUGCAACCUCUGCCUCCUGGAUUCAAGUGAUUCUCCUGCCUCAGCCUCCCAUGUAGCUGGGACUACAGGUGUGCAACACCACACCCAGCUAAUUUUUGUAUUUUUAGUAGAGAUGGGGUUUCGCCAUGUUAGCAAGGAUGGACUCAAUCUCUCGGCCUCAUGUUCCGCCUGCCUCAGCCUCCCAAAGUGCUGGAAUUACAGGCUUGAGCCACUGCGCCCGGCCCAUUUUUUUAAUUUAAAAGAAGUUUUGCUAUUUUCUGAGGCAUUUUUUGUAAAGUGCCCUAAGAAAACCAAGAAAUGUGCUAUUUUUUUCAGUGUGGUCCCUUCUAUAUUUAUUGUCUUAGCAAUUAUACAACUAGAUAUAAUGACCACAAAUAACCUUAAGAAGGAGCAUGAGUCAAAUUUAUUACAACUUAUUCCUUUCAAUGGAUGCUUUUAUAACUAGCAUAAACUUUCCCCAGUCCCUUGAGUUCUAGGCCCAGGCUAAUUUGGCUGCCACAUAAGACAAGGUCUUAUCUCCUUCCUAUUCAGCUGACUUCUACAAUCCAAAUCAGCUAUUAACUCAAAUCUAAGAGAAAAUGCCUUGAACCAAAGAAGAUGUGUGUUACAAAGUUUAAGUGUGACGCAUUAUCAAAGGUGAACGCAACCUUACUGAGGGGAAGCCCUUUGUAAAAUAACCCCGAUAAUUUAGCUACUUCACAUACUUUUCACAACCACUUCCAAUUCUUCGGUGGUUACUAUAGACAAUUUUGGAAAAUAAGAUAUUUGACCUGUAUUUAACUUAUCUGAA